AAGUUUUAGUAGAUGUUUUCACAAACUAAUGUGUGUUUCAACAGGUUUGAUAACAUUUGGUGCAAAUGAGAUGUAACACGAAUAAUUCAAAGUAAGUUUGAGAAGCCAUACACGAGUUGGAAAAAAACAGACCUGCUGUCAUGGAUAUGUGGUUUGGCGAAUUUAAGGGUGAGAGUGCAGUCACCUACACAGGCUGAGUUAUUCAUUGUGACGCACCAAAGAAAAGAUCAUUCAGGAUUCGUUGACAGUAGAUCCGAUGAAACUUAUGUUGACUUCCAGAUGCGGCAAGCAUCAUCACAAUCAUCAGCAGUUGGCCCGACAGAAGAUAGUGACGCUGCUGGACAGCCCUCGCAGCCAGCUUUUAAUGAGACAUCAUUAUAGUUGGAGGUUGCAGGUGGGAAAAAUAAGGGCCGUGUGUAUGGGAUGGGGUCAGAAGCACAUGUCAUCCCUGGUUCCUAUCAUAUGUUGUCACCACUGCCACUGCCUCCACAGUCAUCAAUUUCACUCGCAGAACAAAUUCAACAAGCUAUUAGCUGCACUAAUAGUGCAGCUAUAGAACCAUUUCACCAUUGUUUGUUAGCUAUAGAAGAAAGAUUUCAUAACCCUUCUUCAUU